CCUACGGGGGGCAGCAGUGAGGAAUAUUGGUCAAUAGUCGGAAGGCUGAACCAGCCAUGCCGCGUGAAGGUCAGUGCCCUAUGGGCGUUAAACUUCUUUUGUGCGGGAGCAAUAAUGGUCACGUGUGGCCAGACGAGAGUACCGUACGAAUAAGCAUCGGCUAACUCCGUGCCAGCAGCCGCGGUAAGACGGGGGAUGCAAGCGUUAUCCGGAUUUAUUGGGUUUAAAGGGUGCGUAGGCUGUGAGGUAAGUCAGCGGUGAAAUGCCCCCGCUCAACGGGGUGAAGUGCCAUUGAUACUGCCUGGCUGGAAUGCGGAUGCCGUGGGAGGAAUGUGUGGUGUAGCGGUGAAAUGCAUAGAUAUCACACAGAACACCGAUUGCGAAGGCAUCUCACGAAUCCGCGAUUGACGCUGAUGCACGAAAGCGUGGGUAUCAAACAGGAUUAGAUACCCUUGUAGUC
rnacentral:rRNA from 1 species